UCCGGGGUUUCCCCGGCAGUCCCCUAUGAGUGCCCGGCAUAACCCGGUGGCAACAUAGGGCGAGGGUUGCGCUCGUUGCGGGACUUAACCCAACACCUCACGGCACGAGCUGACGACAGCCAUGCAACACCUGUCCUGGUUCCCGAUUUUACGAGUGGGCAACGCUUUCACGCGCCUACUUCCAGAAUGUCAAGCCUGGGUAAGGUUCUUCGCUUUGCAUCGAAUUAAGCAACGCGCUCCGCCGCUUGUGCGGGCCCCCGUCAAUUCCUUUGAGUUUCAGCCUUGCGGCCGUACUCCCCAGGCGGGGCACUUACUGCGUUAGCGACGGCACCGGGAGGGUCGCUCCCCCCGACGCCUAGUGCCCAUCGUUUACGGCGUGGACUAC
rnacentral:misc_RNA from 1 species